UACGAAGGGGGCUAGCGUUGUUCGGAUUUACUGGGCGUAAAGCGCACGUAGGCGGUUUGUUAAGUGAGAGGUGAAAUCCCAGAGCUCAACUCUGGAACUGCCUUUCAUACUGGCAAGCUAGAGUCCGGAAGAGGUAAGUGGAAUUCCCAGUGUAGAGGUGAAAUUCGGUAGAUAUUAGGAAGAACACCGGAUGGCGAAGGCGGCCACUGGAUCGGUACUGA
rnacentral:rRNA from 1 species